rnacentral:rRNA from 1 species
GACGAACGCUGGCGGCGUGCUUAACACAUGCAAGUCGAACGGAAAGGCCCUGCUUUUGUGGGGUGCUCGAGUGGCGAACGGGUGAGUAACACGUGAGUAACCUGCCCUUGACUUUGGGAUAACUUCAGGAAACUGGGGCUAAUACCGGAUAGGAGCUCCUGCUGCAUGGUGGUGGUUGGAAAGUUUCGGCGGUUGGGGAUGGACUCGCGGCUUAUCAGCUUGUUGGUGGGGUAGUGGCUUACCAAGGCUUUGACGGGUAGCCGGCCUGAGAGGGUGACCGGCCACAUUGGGACUGAGAUACGGCCCAGACUCCUACGGGAGGCAGCAGUGGGGAAUAUUGCACAAUGGGCGGAAGCCUGAUGCAGCAACGCCGCGUGCGGGAUGACGGCCUUCGGGUUGUAAACCGCUUUCGCCUGUGACGAAGCGUGAGUGACGGUAAUGGGUAAAGAAGCACCGGCCAACUACGUG